ensembl:lincRNA 1700063O14Rik RIKEN cDNA 1700063O14 gene
UCAGUUUAACCAGACCUACUAUGUCAGGUCAGAGCCAGCUGGAGCCUCAGUAGAGAGUGUAGAAGCCUCCGACACCCCACGUCUCAGAAACCUACGAAAGACUGGAGAUUUGUCGCACAUCUGGAAAGAUUAGUUUUAAUCUAGAUAGUAAAAGAAGGAAUCGAAAAGGCAUGCUAGGAGUUUCAGCCAGUAAACCACGCCAGGGACUGUACUCUUCAAAGCAGUGAUGGGGCAUGAUCAGGAUGUGUCUCUGCGCACGAAGACUCUUCUUGUCUUCUUAGGAUGGUGAGAAGUAUUCUUCCUCAGGCUAGCAGGAUUAUCUUCCCCCACCGUAACUCACUAGCACAUGGUUCCUAAGGUUUUGACAUUAACUUUGGCGGUUUGGAAAUGUGCCUGGAUCAUUAUACUGAAGGCUCCUCUUAUUUAUGUAACCUUUCAGAGUUCACAGAGGGCUACACACAGCACCUCAUGAAUAAAGGCAUCAUUAUCUCC